UUCCUUCCUUCCUGUGACACACACAUUCUCACAAACACACAUGUUCUCUCUCGCACACACAUGUUCACACACACACAGAUCUCUCUCCCUAAGCCUGAGGGUAUCUGGGAGAGUCUCUCCCAUCCCUGGGCAUGGCAAAGGAGGCAUCUGCAGAUCUCACAGCCUCUCUUGUUUCUCUCCCACUUCCUUUCCUCUCCCUGACCUUCCUUUUGCACAGGACACCUGGAUAACUGACUGGAAUUUAAUGAUGACAAUUGAAUAAAUAAACUCCUGCCCAGACAGCAGCAGUGACAUCAGCCCAUCCCACAGCCGUGCCUCCAGAGUGCCGGGUUCCAAGGACUGCAUCCCAAUGCUGUGCCUGCUGUGGAGAGAGAGGAGAGUCCUGCAGGAUCAGUAAUGGAGGAGCUCACAGCCUUAGCAGCCCUGAGGACUUGGAGCCUUAAAAAACAAAGAAGAACCUGUGAAGUAUCCCCAGACAUGAUGUGAACACAGUCCUGACUGUCCCUGAGUCUCCUUCUGCACAUCCCACGUACCACUCAUGAGGUGGCUUAUCAGCUCUGGGCAAGCAGAGGCUGCUCUAAACCCCCAAUUCCCGUCCCAAAUCCCCUUCAUCCUGGGAAAUAUCCUCACCCCAAGGACGAAGCAGUCCCAGAGGAGCGGGUGGGAUGUGUGGCUCAGGUUGAGGCACAGCUCCAUGAGUUAUGUCCCCCCAUGAUGUCACAGCCCAGAGAUGUGCCAGGAGGCUGGUGCAUCAUCUCCCCGAUAUAGCAACGUGGCUGUUCACAAGAGCAGAACAUCUUGAAUCCUGAAUUUCCAAUGCACUCCAGUCCUUUGGAAGCCCAGUGAAAUGUCAUCUGCUCGCUGGCAGUGGUGAUGGGAAGCGAGCCCAGCCCUGUGCCAGCUGGUGGAUCCAUCCCACGGCCGGUGCCGGGAGGACGCGGCGGCAGCGGGAGGUGUGCGGGGAAGGGGCGGCGUGUGCUGACGUGUUGGCUCGGUGGAGAAGGAAAAGCAAUCCCAACAAUUUCCAAAGCACCAGAUCCAGCUGGAAGACAACUGCAACACCCCACGGAGGAGUGCCCCCCUUCCCUGGCCUCCAUCCUGGCUGUGGGAUCCCUCUGCAGAGAGGCAGUGGGGGAUGAGGAGCUCCCACCAUCCCUGGGAGCCAUGGGGAAUGUGCAGAGAGCAGAGAGCUCCCCAAACUUUCUCUGGGGUAUGUUACCUCCUCCUCUCUGCUGAGCUCCUGUGUCUUGGUGUGCACUGAUGGUAGGGAAGGAGAAGGUCCCCUCCUGCCCUAAACAGCAGGACAAACCCAGCCCUUGGGGGUGAUAUUGCCCCCCCCCACAACCGGAGACCAGUUCCCCCAUAAAUCUCCUGGAGGCUUUGCUACUUCCAGAGCCUUGAAA